rnacentral:lncRNA from 1 species
UAUUAAGCUGAAAAACAGGUUCUAUGUAAUAUCAUUAAAAAAAGUUUGGCACCUGAUUUUCAAUGUUUAUGAAGUUGCAGGUGUGGACUUUAUUCCAAAUAAAUAAUUAUUAUAUGCAUCCCUUAGUUUUGUAACCACCACUUCAGACAGUCUUCUAAAUAAAAUGUUUUAUUUCAUUUAUAAAUUUCAUUUUUUAAGUGCUGCACUUAUUAUCUGAAUGUUCUUCUCUUGUCAAAGGUUAAAUAUCUUCCCCUUUUUCUUCUUUUUUUUAUAAAGAAGCCAGACAAAAUAAACCCCACAAUUAGUGUGAAGCUCAACCAGUGUUUGAUCUUCACAUUCCUUCAGCCUUUGGGACUUGGUUUUCGUGCUCUUCCUGGAGCAGGAGUCAGCCAACAGGCAGAGAAGCCUGAACUCCUGCGUUCACUUCAGGGUGUCUCAGUCUUUCCAAUUUUCAUCCCCUCCAACUAGGCCAUUUGCUGGUUGGGCCUGACUGCAAUCUCAGCUGCUACUAAUUUCCAAUUGCCAAUAAAAAAAUGAAGAAGCCGCCGUUAGCACCCGCAGGAGGCUUGCAGCUGCCUAGGAAUGCUCCUGUGACCGUUGCUCCGAAGGAGAGUAAGCAUUUCCAGGACGGAUGGAAGGCGUCCCUUCCCCUCGCCAAGGCAUUAUCUCCAAUGACAGUGAAUGCCAGAUGUCUCGGAGGCCAGCCCGCAAUCCCUGUGGUUAGGCCAUGCCCAAACAAAAGAAAGUCUUUCUAUUCAUUUUCUUGGCAAAUGAGUAAGAACCCAUUUUACACACAAUUUUGAGCUCUGAGCAGCUUGGCGGGCAGUUCACAAUCAGCACACUAAGAGCUCACAACAGAAUCACGUGUGUGUGCGUGUGCCUGUGUGCAUGCAUGUGCCUGUGUGUGUGCAUGUGUGCACGUGUGUCUGCUUGUGUGCUUGACUGUGCAUGUGUGUAUGUGCGUGUGCGCGUGUGUCUGUGUGUAUGUUAUUCAGUGCAUAGAUCUGGAGUGAUAGUAUUUCCAGCAGAGGGAACAGCAGAACAAUGUCCGUGAAGCAGGAAGAGCACGUGUUUUCUUCUAGACCCAAUCAGGGGAGUCUGCGCAGGAUGGAGGGAGUCAAGGGGCCUGCGCUGGAAGUGUGUCCGGAAUUGGUGGGUUCUUGGUCUCACUGACUUCA